rnacentral:lncRNA from 1 species
AGAUGAAAAAAAAUUAUUGCUCUUACAGAUGUGUAUAAGAAAAACACGUCAAAUGUUCUUCAAGAUUCUCCAUGGCUUUAUGGACCGACAUGGAGCUGCAUAUGUGAAAAUUGUUCUCUUCCCCAUCUCACAACUUCAAUUUUCUGCUCCUGCAAUUAGGGGUGGCAGAUGGGUCGUGUCGGGUCAUGUUUGUGUUGGGUUUGUAUCGUGUUGCGGGUCGAAACAGAUCAACCCAAGUACAACCCGAUUGUUAAACAGGUCAACCCGGGUCAACCCGAUCACAACCCUGUUUAUUUAGCGGGUAAACACGUUGACACGCUUCUCUUCUCCUCUUCUCUUCUCUUCUCUCUCCGCCUCGCAAACCAACUGCCAAGUGCCAAUUCUCUACCUAAAAUUCUAAUUGAAUGGUAGACAUAAUAUUUUUCAUACCAGACAAAGAGAUAUGUUUUUAAAAAAAAAAGAUAUGUGUGAUGAAAUUUGCAACAUAUCUGAUCGAGAGAUCGAGAGAGAAUUACAUAUUUGAUAGAGAGAGAGAGAGAGAGAGAGAGUUACAGAUCUGAUAUAGAGAGAGAGUGUUACAGAUCUGAUAGAGAGAGUGAGAGUCAGAGAGAGAGAGAUACAGAUCUACUUGUUUGUUGGACAUGAGAUCUAAUCUUCCUCCAUUAGAUAUAAAAAAAGAAGAAGAAGAAAAAAAAUCUACAAUAUCUUUUUUUUUUUUCUUUGAAAUCAUGGUUUUGAUUGAUUCAGAUUUCGAAUGACACGAUUGGGUUUACAGGUUAAACACGACACAACCCAAUUUAGUUAGAGGGUUUAGCGGGUCAAACACGGUUAUAACACUAAGCAGAUAACAUGUCAACCCAAACACGGGAAAAACCGGGUCGUGUUCGUGUCGGGUCAGUGGGUACGUGUCAAAACUGCCACCCCUACCUGCAAUUGUGUUUUAACAUGCAUCAACGACAAAAAAGGUAAUCCUUUGAUUCUCAUAGAUAAUAUUUUCGUUUUUAAUUCAUGAUGCUUAGAUAUUAAAAACAACAUAUGCCAAUGAAAAGGUAGUAACAUUUAUAUAGAUGAGCUCUUCAUUGCUACUUUAUAUUUGAUUCAUUUCAAGAGAUGAAUUGUCCAAAAGUUUAAUUUGAAACGAAAGAUGAGUUCAUGCAAAAUCACAGUUGAAACUUGUGCUUAUUAUUUUUUAUUUUCAUAAUAUAGCAUGCUUUGUAUUGUGGCUGCAAAUCAAUGGCAAUUGGGUGAAUGCAAUGGAUUCAAUUCAGCCGUUCAACAAGGAACAUUGGAUAUAAUGAAGAACUUAAACAGUUAAAGUGCUUAAAAAAUAAUAAUAAUAAAAUUCUAUAAGUAAACGGACCCAAUUGAUUGUAGAAUAUGUUUAUCUUUAUGCAGCAACAAGGAAACUAAUAGGAGCAAACACGACUACACAAGCAACUAGACCAUUAGUAGAUGUAAAUGACAGAAGGUGCAACCAAGCAGCAGUAGCAGGCAAGUGGACCACAAACAAAAACUAAGUGUAUAUCAACAGCAAAAGCAACAGGGGAG